AGUGGAUGGGGAGCAACCUAGUUGUGCGUGUGUAAAGGUAGUGCCAAGAAAAGCGAUGAUCAUGUUGAAAAUCAAUUCCCGGUACCCGAAACCGACACAGGUGGGCAAGUAGAGAAUACUAAGGGGCGCGAGGUAACUCUCUCCAAGGAACUCGGCAAAAUGACCCCGUAACUUAGGGAGAAGGGGUGCCACCGAGAGGUGGUCGCAGUGAAGAGGCCCAGGCGACUGUUUAGCAAAAACAUAGGUCUCUGCAAACUCGAAAGAGGAGGUAUAGGGGCUGACGCCUGCCCAGUGCCGGAAGGUUAAAGAAGUUGGUCAGUUUUAGGAUGAAGCUAGCGACUGAAGCCCCGGUGAACGGCGGCCGUAACUAUAACGGUCCUAAGGUAGCGAAAUUCCUUGUCGGGUAAGUUCCGACCCGCACGAAAGGCGUAACGAUCUGGGCGCUGUCUCGGAGAGAGGCUCGGCGAAAUAGGAUUGUCUGUGAAGAUACGGACUACCUGCAUUUGGACAGAAAGACCCUAUGAAGCUUUACUAUAGCUUGGAAUUGUGUUCGGGCUUCCUGUGCGCAGGAUAGGUGGGAGGCGUAGAAGGUAUUCUUGUGGGGAUACUGGAGCCAACGGUGAGAUACCACUCUCAGGAGGCUAGAAUUCUAACUUAAUUAAGGUCAGUUUCAGGUGGGUAGUUUGACUGGGGCGGUCGCCUCCAAAAAGGUAACGGAGGCGUACAAAGGUUCCCUCAGACUGGUUGGAAAUCAGUCGAAGAGUGCAAAGGCAGAAGGGAGCUUGACUGCGAGAAGUACAGUUCGAGCAGGGUGGAAACACGGUCUUAGUGAUCCGACGGUGCUGUGUGGAAGGGCCGUCGCUCAACGGAUAAAAGUUACUCUAGGAUAACAGGCUGAUCUCCCCCAAGAGUUCACAUCGACGGGGAGGUUUGGCACCUCGAUGUCGGCUCAUCGCAACCUGGGGCGGAAGUACGUCCCAAGGGUUGGGCUGUUCGCCCAUUAAAGCGGUACGUGAGCUGGGUUCAGAACGUCGUGAGACAGUUCGGUCCAUAUCCGAUGUAGGCGUGAGAAUAUUGAGAGGAGCCUUCCUUAGUACGAGAGGACCGGGAAGGACGCACCGCUGGUGUACCUGUUAUGAUGCCAAUUGUAAACGCAGGGUAGCCAAGUGCGGAGAGGAUAACCGCUGAAAGCAUCUAAGUGGGAAGCCCACCUCAAGAUGAGUAUUCUGGUGUAAGGUCACGGGAAGACGACCCGUAAAUAGGCACGAGGUGGAAGUGCAGAGAUGUAUGAAGCCGAAGUGUACUAAUAGACCGUCGGCUUGAUC
rnacentral:rRNA from 1 species